rnacentral:lncRNA from 1 species
CACAUCACUUUUAUGCACUGAAUUUUCUUUAGUACUUGUUUUUGACAAAAAAACGAGUCAAAUAAUAAUUUUGCAUUGUGUCAAAACAAACUAGAACUAUCUCUGAAUGUGAUGAAUGUACAGCCUGUACGUACUGACACAGUACUUAAUUUGUGUGCAAUGGCAGGGGAGAUAAGCGCUCACAAUAAUGCAUAUGCAGAUUCUAUUUAUAUAGCAAAAAGCUACAUAACUCUGCAGAAUAUUUAUCUAAAAGAAUGUAACAUGCAACGUUCACAACUAGUGUUGACAGAGAACACUUGUGUCAAGUUUCAUUAAAUUGUGUGCUACGUUUCGGGAGAUUAGGUGCACACAAGUUUGCAUGUGCAUACUCUGUGUAUAUAUUAUAGAAACAAAAACAAAAUCCCGUGACUCUGCAUUCUUUUCUGAAGGGAUCUGACAUGCACCUUGCAAAUCUACUGUUUUUACUGAUCACUUGUGUGAAGUUUCAUUAAAUUGUGUCAGUGGAAAGCUGAGAGAUGGUGCGCACAAGAUUGUAUCUACGGACAGACAGACAGACAGACAUACGGACAAACAGACAGACAAAUCUGAAAAGAGUAUGCCCCCUUACAACUUCAUUGCGCGCGGGUUACAAAAUAUCAAACGUUAAAUGCAAUAAUGUUUCUUAUUUAAAAUUAUGACUUUUGAAGUUCAUAGUUAUUAAUCUCCUUACUACAUGUAGUAUGUCUACCUCUUUUGUUUUAAACAAACGUAACUUCACAAGUCUCAAGCCGAUAAUACUUUUCAUCAAAAGCACUGUCAUGUAACUUAGGGUAUGUAGGGAAACUGCCUUCGACUGAAAGAUAGAGUGAUAGUUUUUUUACAUAGAUUGUAGAUAUAAGCUGAAAAAUUACAAAUAUGAUAAGAAGAAACAUUUCAGACUUUCACUCUCAACAAUAUCUAUUUAUGAGUCUGAGACUCUCGGUUACAGUGACCUUGACCUUAGACAUAUUGACACCAAUAAAACAGUUAGGUAGACCUAAAUGGGUUAUACUUAUACUGAAAUGAACCUCCUGUCUACCGUGUGCACGUGAAAUAUUAUUAAAAAUUCAGUGUUGUGUUUAAAUAAAGACCCGCCACAGCCUUCUGGCGUACUUUUUUUCUUGCGGAUGAUAUUUUUGAAAUUCAUUCUGAUAAUUAUGGUAUACAACAAGACGGCAGAUAAAUAAUUCAUUCCCUUUCUAAAUAAAUAUGUUUUCACAACAGAUUUAGUCAAUUUAUCAGUUUAGUUGUGACUUAAUGUGUUGUAUAUUGCUAUUACAACGACUUAGUUAGCAUGUGCGUAUCGGAGCAUGAGAAAAGUUGAAGGUUAGUUUGGAAUAUUCUACUUUAAUCAGUGUCGGCAAUGAGUUAUCUUUCUAUUUUUAUUUGCAACUUGAGGUUAGAGUGGUUUUUAUGGUGGCAUAUUUCUGCAUACGAUAACCAGAUAGCUUUCGCGAAAAUGUAUCGAGAUUUCACGAAAAAUAGAAAAAAAAUCGCGAAAACAUAAAAGCUUUUCACGAAAAGAAACUGAAAAUAGUACAUGGAAAAAGAUUGCGUUAGUACGGAAGCCGCAAAGGGACUCAAGAUGUGAGAAAAUGUUUGCGCAUGUCGACAGAAUUAAAGCGAUAUAGCUAAAUCUUUUUGGUAUUCUCGCCUUAAAUGUUUCGAAUUAAUGUAAAUAAUAUAAGCAUUUAGCCCUCAGUUCUCCUGCAAAGAUAGCAACAUUGCACAUUUCGAAUACUUCUUUGUCGAAAACUUUUUAUAAACCGUUUUCUUGAAAACACUUUUUGUGCAAUGCUUAAAAGAUUUUGCAAUUCACGCCUAAAUAUACCCGCAAUCAUGCCAGUAUUUUGUCUUUACAAUAUAAGCUAUUCGCAAUGACAGAAGCAUAAUUCGCAUUUCUUAUAUUCAUAGUCUACAUAACCAUUCUCGAAAUAAUAAAUGCAAGAAAUUGUUACGCUUGCACGCCUGUUAAAGAAAUUAUGGAGGAACAGCGAAGUAUAACGACUGAGUUGCAAAAUGGAUAACACUCGUUAUACAUUGCUACUUCUAGUUGUAGUUACUUCCAAGUGCUCCUUCUGCCAGUAUGAUACCAAAUGAGGACAGCUCGUUAGACGAUGUUGUCCAACACCAUUUUAAUCUUGGAUACCAGAACUGGCUGGACUGUUAUUGUUCGUACAUCAAAUAAUAAUUAAUUAAA